rnacentral:misc_RNA from 1 species
CAACCCUCAAGCCUGGCUUGGUGUUGGGUACAGCCCGUGCGGCCGGCCCUAAAGACAGCGGCGGCGCCGCCUGGCCCUGAGCGUAGUACGGCUCUCGCUCCAGGGUCCUGCGGUGGCCUGCCAGACCCCCCUAACUCUGC